GAUGAACGCUGACAGAAUGCUUAACACAUGCAAGUCUACUCGAACUUCGGUUUGGGUGGCGGACGGGUGAGUAACGCGUAAAGAACUUGCCUCACAGAUAGGGACAACAUUUGGAAACGAAUGCUAAUACCUGAUAUUAUGAUUUUAGGGCAUCCUAGAAUUAUGAAAGCUAUAUGCACUGUGAGAGAGCUUUGCGUCCCAUUAGCUAGUUGGAGAGGUAACGGCUCACCAAGGCGAUGAUGGGUAGCCGGCCUGAGAGGGUGAUCGGCCACAAGGGGACUGAGACACGGCCCUUACUCCUACGGGAGGCAGCAGUGGGGAAUAUUGGACAAUGGACCAAGAGUCUGAUCCAGCAAUUCUGUGUGCACGAUGAAGUUUUUCGGAAUGUAAAGUGCUUUCAGUUGGGAAGAAAAAAAUGACGGUACCAACAGAAGAAGUGACGGCUAAAUACGUG
rnacentral:rRNA from 1 species